rnacentral:rRNA from 1 species
AGCGAACGCUGGCGGCAGGCCUAACACAUGCAAGUCGAACGAACCCUUCGGGGUUAGUGGCGGACGGGUGAGUAACACGUGGGAACGUGCCUUUAGGUUCGGAAUAACUCAGGGAAACUUGUGCUAAUACCGAAUGUGCCCUUCGGGGGAAAGAUUUAUCGCCUUUAGAGCGGCCCGCGUCUGAUUAGCUAGUUGGUGAGGUAAUGGCUCACCAAGGCUACGAUCAGUAGCUGGUCUGAGAGGAUGACCAGCCACAUUGGGACUGAGACACGGCCCAAACUCCUACGGGAGGCAGCAGUGGGGAAUCUUGCGCAAUGGGCGAAAGCCUGACGCAGCCAUGCCGCGUGGAUGAUGAAGGUCUUAGGAUUGUAAAAUCCUUUCACCGGUGAAGAUAAUGACUGUAGCCGGAGAAGAAGCCCCGGCUAACUUCGUGCCAGCAGCCGCAGUAAAAC